rnacentral:rRNA from 1 species
GUGCCAGCCGCCGCGGUAACACGUGGGAGGCGAGCGUUGUCCGGAGUUACUGGGCGUAAAGCGCGCGCAGGCGACCUCGCAGGCAGUCCGUGAAAGUCCCCGGCUCAACCGGGGAGGGUCGGGCUGAACCGCGAGGCUGGAGGCCGGCAGAGGCGGGUGGAAUUCCCGGAGGAGCAGUGAUAUGCGUAGAUACCGGGAGGAACGCCCGAGGUGAAGACGGCCCGCUGGGCCGGUCCUGACGCUGAAGCGCGAAGGCUAGGGGAGCGAACGGGAUUAGAAACCCGAGUAGUCC